AGGUGCUUCCCUUUGAGGGCUCAGACACAUGGGAGGUUGAAACACCCACCUCACAAGACCUAUUAUGUGGUGAGAGAAGCCCAUCAAAAGGGGGCCUUUUCACUGCAUAAUAAAUAGUUGCCACCACAUAACCGUUGCACACUUCCCCCCUCCCACACAAACACACAUACACACACAUAUUUUGGGCAGGGAAGGGUGAAAUCUCAUAUUUAAAUUUGCCCUUGUACAUAAUAGGACCUGAGCAUCCUCAGAUUUUGGUAUCUACAGGGGUCCUGAAACCAAACUCCAGCUGGGGACUGAAAGGCACAGCCCAGCUCUCACCUGGCAUCUUAGAGCCAAAGAAUGGCUGGAGACUGAAAUGAGAUCCAUAGAAACCACUGCGGAUGCCAUGAAGCCAGCCAGGAGGGACACCGCUCAUUGCCAAGCUUGGCCACCGCCCAGAGAGGAUUAAAUGCUUCCUUGGUUCUAUUCCCAGAAACCGACCUGCUCUCCUUCCUACAAUGCAGCUCUUAGGCUCUCCUUACAUUCUUCUAUGAGUAAUACACUUUCCCUUCUCUCUCUUUCCAACAGCAUUGUGUCCAUCUGUCAGAUUUGUCAGCACCAAAGCAGCUUCCUAUGCAGGAGGAGGAGGCGACCCAGGGAAUGUGGGAAAACUCGUGAACCCAGAUCCAGCCUCCCUACAAAUAGUCUAGGUAAGAUAGCAGACCCCCUGGGUUGGAGAUCCUGCUGCUUAAUGCCAAGUUGGUGAAUGGAAAAACAACAGCCAUCCAUGAUUUGAUCUUGGAUGAGUAUGCUGACCUGGUCUGCCUGGUUGGAGGGGGGAGGAGGAAUUGCAGAGGUCUAUCAGGAUUUGCUAGCUGGAGUGGUCUCAGGCCUGGUUUUGGAGUCUCAACGACUACUAGUGCUGGGGGAUUUUAACAUCCAUGCCUCGACCAUUCUGUUGGGAGUGGCUCAGGACUGCAUGGCAACCAUAGGUCUCUCCCAAUUGGUUUCUGGCCCCACCCGUAGCCCUGGGCACACCCUUGAUUUGGUCUUCUGUUCAGGAUGAGAUGAUGGUGAUAGUGUUCACAUUCCCUUUGUCAUGGACUGAUCACGACCUGGUUAGGUUUAGACUCACCGGGGCUCUAAACCUCUCUGCAGGGGUGGAGGGCUGAUUAGGAUAGUCUGCCCCAGGAGACUUAUGGAUCCAGAUGGAUUCCUGAAAACUCUUGGGGAGUUUCCUGCCACUUGGGUAGGUGAUUCUGUCAAAGCUCUAGCAGACCUCUGGAAUACGGAGGUGGCCAGGACAGUUGGAAAAAUCACUCCUCAAAGUCGCCUUUCACAAAGCAGAGCCAAAUCAGCCCCCUGAUAUUCCAUUAGCUGGCAUCCCUUCCCUACUCUCUUUUAAAAAACAGCUAAAACGCAUUUAUAUUCUCUUACAUAUAUAGAGAAGGAGGAUUAGAAUACUAUGGUUAUUGUGGAUCAGCAAUGGUGUUGCACCCUGGCUCUGUUGGCUGCUUAAAUUUUAAAAAUUAUUUUAAUAAAUUAUUUUAAAUCUGUAUAUUUUAAAUCUGUUUAGAUUUGUGUUUUUUAAUGUGAAAUGUGUAAUGCUAGAUUGGUUAUGUUAUAAUCUGUUAUUACUUUGUUAUAGAUGUGGAUUUAUUUCCUGGUUUUGGUUGGGUUGUCUAUCUGUUUUUGUUUAGUUAAUUACGGCAUUGAAUAUUUGCUAAUUUUUUGUUGGAAACCGCCCUGAGUCCCCUUGGGGAGAUAGGGCGGGAUAUAAAUAAAGUUUCAUCAUCAUCAUCAUCAUUACAAGAUAGAUAUGCUGGAUUUCGUUUCACAAAAUCACAAGUCGAACACUUCCCAAGUGUUUAGGACUGUGUGAUGUAUUUUUGGAUGAUGCGUGCAGAUCCCAGUAGGGUGGCCUUUUGCAGUUGGCAGAUCGUAAUUUUGUCAAUGUCUAUUGUUUCCAAAUGCCGGCUGAGAUCUUUUCCAAUACAUUUGCAGGUUUGUGAUCCCACCAGUUCUUUGCUGCUGGGAGGUGGUACUUGAGGCAUAAGUUCCAAUGAAUCAUUUGGGCCACAUAGUUGUGCCUCUGUUUGUAGUCUGUCUAUGCGAUUUUCUUACAGCAGCUAAGGAUAUGAUCAAUGCUUUCGUCGGUUUCCUUGCAGAGUCUGCAUUUUGGGUCAUCAGCUGAUUUUUCGAUCUUGGCCUGAAUUGCCUUUGUUCUGAUGGCUUGCUCCUGGGCUGCAAGGAUCAGGCCUUCUGUCUCCUUCUUCAUGGUCCCAUUCGUGAGCCAGAGUCAGGUCUUCUCCUUAUCAGCUUUUCCUUCAAUUUUGUCAAGGAACUUUCCAUGCAAUGUUUUAUUGUGCCAGCUGUCAGCUCUAGUUUGUAGUGCGGUUUUCUUGUACUGGUUUUUUGUCUGCUGUGCUUUGAGGAGUUUCUGAUUUUUGACUUCAAUCAAAGCAGGUUCUUCACUUUGCUUUACAUAUUCUGCCAGGGCAUGUUCUUCUUCUUUGAGUGCCUGUUUUACUUGUAAGAGUCCUCUGCCACCUGAUCUUCUAGGCAGAUAUAGCCAGUCAACAUCACUUUGAAGGUGCAGGGAAUGCUGAAUGGUCAUGAGUUUUCUUGUUUUUCUGUCCAAAUUGUCCAGUUCCGCCUGUGUCCAAUUUAUAAUGCCAGCAGUAUAUCUUAUGACAGGUAUGGCCCAGGUGUUUAUGGCCUUGAUGGUGUUGCCUCCAUUGAGCUUGCUUUUGAGAAUUUUUCUGACCCUUUGUGUGUAUUCU
rnacentral:lncRNA from 11 species